UGCCCCAUGGUGUAAUGGUAGCACUCCUGUUUUUGGUACAGAUAGUCCAAGUUCAAAUCUUGGUGGGGUAA
rnacentral:tRNA from 2 species